UUGAAGAAGGAUCCAUG
rnacentral:rRNA from 1 species